UCUUUUCCUUCUUCUUCUUCCUGUUUCUUUUCCUUUUUCUCUUUUCUUUUUGGUAUCGAUACUUCAAAAUCUCUCAACGAUUGAAACCUUUUUCUAACUUUCCUAACUCAAAGUUAUAACUUAUAACUUUUUUAAUGAUAUUCGAUACGAUUUGUACGCAACUACAUCUAUACAUACAUAAAUGUAUACACCAAUGAGUCCUUUGAAAUAUACAACAUCACGAUUCUCAACAUUUUAUCAAACGACCAACGAACAAGAGUUCAAUGUAUUCAAUCAUGGUUUCUGAUAAUAUUACCAAACUAUCAAAUAAUGUAAUUAAUCACGCAAUGUAAUUCUCAAUUUCGACAAACUAUUUCACCUCUUCACUCCCUCCCUACCUCUCCUCCAAUUCCCUUUUUGUCUACCUUUAUUUGGUAAAAUUAAUUGCAACAGAAUGAAGGCUACACUUAGCAAGGAUUCCACUCCAUUAGCUGGUCACUACUAUACGUAAUAACGUUCGAGAAGUAACCUUAAUGAGUUUCAACUUCGUGGGAAAACAUACGAAAAGAGAAACGGAUAAUGCAGAUAACGAUGGUUUGAGUUUUGUUUAUUAAUGGAAUAUUCCGAUAAAUGGUAAAAUCACAGUACAAUUUACGUAUACCGGAGAAACUUACCUUCACCCGUUAGUACAGACGAGAUGUUCCCUACAAGCACGACAAGCUCGUCGGUAAAGCAGAGGGGAUGAAACAGUCGGUACGAGGAUCACGUGGGUAAUGAAGAACUUGAACCCUAUUUUCUUAUAUUAGCUGUAGGAUCCAAUUUUUUGUACAACCCUCGAAAAUGUAAAUUAAACAAACAAAAGAAAACAAAUAAUAAUAAUAAGAGAAAAUAAAAGGAUUACAUCUCUUCGAUGCAAUUAUCUGAUUUUAUCAUUCGUAAACUGGAUAUUGGUAAAAAUAAAUAAGAAUAAUGACGACGAAUAUAUUUUAUUUCCUUUCAUUUUAUUCUCCAAUGAUAAGAGUCUUGUGUUUCUUAAUUGAUACGAAUAAUUAAAAAAAAUAGGAAAUUCCAAGAGGAGAAUCUUAAAUUUCAUUUCAUUAAUUAAAUCGUACCGCUCGAGAAUCAAACUCGUGCACACUUCCGGCCACGCAUUCUUUUUACGAUGAAUAAAAUUCGCAGGAAUCAGAAAAGAUAGGUGUGACAACGUCGAAUUAUGAUAGAUCAAAUAAAUGACAUGUAACAUAUAAUUAAUAUGUAAUACUAACUAUAUGUGCGUUUGAACAAUAAAAUCUGUGCUAUAGCUGAGAAAAA
rnacentral:lncRNA from 1 species